GAUGAAGAACGUAGCGAAAUGCGAUAAGUAAUGUGAAUUGCAGAAUUCAGUGAAUCAUCGAAUCUUUGAACGCACAUUGCGCCCGCCAGUAUUCUGGCGGGCAUGCCUGUUCGAGCGUCAUUUCAACCAUCAAGCCCCAGGCUUGUGUUGGGGACCUGCGGCUGCCGCAGGCCCUGAAAACCAGUGGCGGGCUCGCUGUCACACCGGGCGUAGUAGAUUUUAUCUCGCUCUGGGCGUGCUGCGGGUUCCGGCCGUUAAAAAACCCUUUUAACCCAAGGUUGACCUCGGAUCAGGUAGGAAUACCCGCUUAACUUAAGCAUAUCAAUAAGCGGAGGA
rnacentral:misc_RNA from 1 species